rnacentral:lncRNA from 1 species
AGACUGAAAUUCCAGCAUGUUUCAGCAGGCUAAGCAACAAGUUCCUGUCAGCUAGACUCACAGAUGCUGAGGAAUAUAAGAAAAACAUGAUAUUUUACAGCUCAAAAUGUUUUGCUACUCAAUCCAAGCCAGGGCCUCUCUCAGCACCAGAGGAAACAGAGACAUCGCCAUAAAAAAGGACCAUCUGGUCCUCAUCUGACUGGUUCUUUACUAUAAAGCAAGCAAGCUUUCAGCUGAGCAUCAGAAUGCAGAGGAUUGACCAGGGCCGUGUAGAAACCUGUACU